rnacentral:rRNA from 1 species
AGACGUAGGGGGCGAGCGUUGUCCGGAAUUACUGGGCGUAAAGGGCGCGUAGGCGGCCACUUAAGUCAGGUGUAAAAAACCCGGGCUCAACCCGGGGGAUGCACAUGAAACUGGGUGGCUAGAGGGCAGGAGAGGGGAGUGGAAUUCCCGGUGUAGCGGUGAAAUGCGUAGAUAUCGGGAGGAAUACCAGUGGCGAAGGCGACUCUCUGGACUGACCCUGACGCUGAGGCGCGAGAGCGUGGAGAGCAAACAGGAUGAGAUACCCGGAUAGUCCACGCCGUAAGCGAUGGGUACUAGGUGUGGGAUGCGGAAGCAUUCCGUGCCGUAGUUAACGCAAUAAGUACCCCGCCUGGGGAGUACGGCCGCAAGGUUGAA